rnacentral:rRNA from 1 species
CACGUAGGGUGCGAGCGUUAAUCGGAAUUACUGGGCGUAAAGCGUGCGCAGGCGGUUUGCUAAGACAGGUGUGAAAUCCCCGGGCUUAACCUGGGAACUGCGCUUGUGACUGGCAGGCUAGAGUACGGUAGAGGGGGGUGGAAUUCCUGGUGUAGCAGUGAAAUGCGUAGAUAUCAGGAGGAACACCGAUGGCGAAGGCAGCCCCCUGGGCCUGUACUGACGCUCAUGCACGAAAGCGUGGGGAGCAAACAGGAUUAGAUACCCCU